AUGAAGAACGCAGCGAAAUGCGAUAAGUAAUGUGAAUUGCAGAAUUCAGUGAAUCAUCGAAUCUUUGAACGCACAUUGCGCCCAUUAGCAUUCUAGUGGGCAUGCCUGUUCGAGCGUCAUUUCACCACUUAAGCCCUGUUGCUUAGCGUUGGGAGCCUACGGCACUGCCCGUAGCUCCCUAAAGUGAUUGGCGGAGUUGGUUCUCACUCUAGGCGUAGUAAAUCUAUCUCGCCUCUGUAGUGGUUCCGGCCCCUGCCGUAAAACCCCCUAUAUCAAAGGUUGACCUCGGAUCAGGUAGGAAUACCCGCUGAACUUAAGCAUAUCAAUAAGCGGAGGAAAAGAAACCAACAGGGAUUGCCCUAGUAACGGCGAGUGAAGCGGCAACAGCUCAAAUUUGAAAUCUGGCUUUCGGGCCCGAGUUGUAAUUUGUAGAGGAUGAUUUUGGCGCGGUGCCUUCCGAGUUCCCUGGAACGGGACGCCUUAGAGGGUGAGAGCCCCGUACGGUUGGACACCAAGCCUCUGUAAAUCUCCUUCGACGAGUCGAGUAGUUUGGGAAUGCUGCUCUAAAUGGGAGGUAAAUUCCUUCUAAAGCUAAAUACCGGCCAGAGACCGAUAGCGCACAAGUAGAGUGAUCGAAAGAUGAAAAGCACUUUGAAAAGAGGGUUAAAUAGCACGUGAAAUUGUUGAAAGGGAAGCAUUUACUACCAGACCUUCUCCUGGCGGAUCAUGCGGUGUUCUCACCGCUGCACUUCGCCUGGUUUAGGCCAGCAUCGGUUUUCGUAGGGGGAUAAAAGCUUUAGGAACGUAGCUCCCUCGGG
rnacentral:rRNA from 1 species